rnacentral:rRNA from 1 species
AUUGAACGCUGGCGGCCGGCCUAACACAUGCAAGUCGAGCGAGCGGCGGACGGGUGAGUAAUGUCUGGGAAACUGCCUGAUGGAGGGGGCUAACUACUGGAAACGGUAGAUACUACCGCAUACCAUCAGAUGUGCCCAGAUGGGCUUAGCUAGUAGGUGGGGUAACGGCUAACCUAGGCGACGAUCCCUAGCUGGUCUGAGAGGAUGACCAGCAACACUGUAACUGAGACACGGUCCAGAGUCCGACGGGAUGCAGCAGUGGGGAAUAUUGCACAAUUGGCGCAAGCCUGAUGCAGCCAGGCCGCGUGUGUGAAGAAGGCCUUCGGGUUGUAAAGCACUUUCAGCGGGGAGGCGUUACCCGCAGAAGAAGCACCGGCUAACUCCGUGCCAGCAGCAGCGUAAUAC